GACGAACGCUGGCGGCGUGCUUAACACAUGCAAGUCGAACGGAAAGGCCCUGCUUUUGUGGGGUGCUCGAGUAGCGAACGGGUGAGUAACACGUGAGUAACCUGCCCUUGACUUUGGGAUAACUUCAGGAAACUGGGGCUAAUACCGGAUAGGAGCUCCUGCUGCAUGGUGGGGGUUGGAAAGUUUCGGCGGUUGGGGAUGGACUCGCGGCUUAUCAGCUUGUUGGUGGGGUAGUGGCUUACCAAGGCUUUGACGGGUAGCCAGCCUGAGAGGGUGACCGGCCACAUUGGGACUGAGAUACGGCCCAGACUCCUACGGGAGGCAGCAGUGGGGAAUAUUGCACAAUGGGCGGAAGCCUGAUGCAGCAACGCCGCGUGCGGGAUGACGGCCUUCGGGUUGUAAACCGCUUUCGCCUGUGACGAAGCGUGAGUGACGGUAAUGGGUAAAGAAGCACCGGCUAACUACGUG
rnacentral:rRNA from 1 species